CAGGGUCCACCAGGAAUAUACGGGGACAAAGGAGAAAUUGGAUUGCCGGGCCUUCAAGGAAAACAAGGAAAACCGGGAAACGAGGGUGUCAAAGGAGACAUGGGUCAAAAAGGAGAAAGAGGAGAAGAGGGAAAAAAAGGUGACAAAGGCAAUGAUGGUUUACCAGGAUUAAAAGGGGAGAUGGGUGAUCCAGGUUUACUGGGCCCUCCGGGCAUAAAAGGAGACAAGGGAGAAAAAGGGUCUGAAG